GAUGUAACGAACUCUGGGAGGUUUAUCCACUGGCCGCUCAGCUGGAUUUUCUGAUGAUUACCAGUAUGGCCGGACAUACGCCCAUAGUCGGCAGCAAAGCUCCGACGUGGAUCGCAACGUCCUCCAGUGCCGUGACCGCCUACAUCCGUUUGUUCGGUAUUUCCAGUUGACAAACAUGUUCGCUUGGCGGUCAUUAGUUCUCCUCAGAGACAUGAAUUCUAACCCGUUCUUUCCCGAGUUCUGGAAGAUGCUGUCCGCAGAUUUUGCUGUUCGAAAUAGCGGCUACCAAAUUCAUGCAGAAACCGUCAACUCCAGACCUGGGCCAGUUAAUUACACACAGCUUCUCACACGUCUCGACGCAGUAUCACGCGUGUACUUCUAUUUUGGCGAUCCAGUGGAAUUCCG